rnacentral:rRNA from 1 species
UACGUAGGGUGCGAGCGUUGUCCGGAAUUACUGGGCGUAAAGAGCUCGUAGGUGGUUUGUCGCGUUGUUCGUGAAAACUCACAGCUUAACUGUGGGCGUGCGGGCGAUACGGGCAGACUGGAGUACUGCAGGGGAGACUGGAAUUCCUGGUGUAGCGGUGUAAUGCGCAGAUAUCAGGAGGAACACCGGUGGCGAAGGCGGGUUGCUGGGCCGACACUGACGCUGAUGCGCGAAAGCCAGGGGAGCGAACGGG